UGCAUCUGGGGCCAGUGAGGAUGAGAACCUCCGGGGGCAGGAGGUUCGACUCGAGCGAAGCGAGAGAACGUUGCGUCAGCAACGGCCCGCAGGGCGAGCCACG
rnacentral:sRNA from 1 species